GACUCCCUAAUCAAACCCAAAACGAAAUCAUCACAAAAUCAUUAAAUUGCACCUCCAGCUUGGCCUAAUUUUUUUUAUUCACGUUUUCGUCUUCAUAAUUUAAUAAUUGGACGACUUGCUCUCAUUUUCGGCGUGUAUCAAGUUGGUUCAAUAAAUUCGUUGUGCCCAAUAAUGAUAAAAAAGUGCGUUAUAAAUUCGCAACAAUUUAAAUCGAGCCCAAACUUUGCAAUUCCACGAAUUCAUCAGAUCAAUUUAUACAAUGUCGCACCUUCUUCCACAUUUACCCUUUUUGGGCCCGGUUUUGGCCCCAGUUUUGGGCCCUUUUCUCCAGACUUUAGGCCCACUCCUUUCACUCUUAGGCCCCCUCCUUAUUUUACCCUUAGUUCCGAUCUUUAUCGCAUUUGCUGGGCCUGUCCUUGGCCCAAUUUUGGCGUCUCUGGGGCCUGUACUAACGCCCCUAGCUCCCAUUUUACUGACGAUAACUCCAAUUCUUCUAGUUUUGAUCCCGCUUGUGGGAGCAGUUCUCACACCUUUGGCUCCAAUUAUAUCACCACUUGCUCCAUUACUACUUCCACUGUUUCUCAUAGUGGCCUCUUUGCUGGCUCCUGCCGUUCCACAAAUUGUCUCAGUUUUGGGGAAAUUUGUAUUGCCUUUGGUACCAAUCCUUAAUGCUCUGGCUGGGUUUCUGGCACCGAUUGUUCCAGUGCUGAUAGGGAUUUUGAAGCCAGUUUUGGGACUUUUGAGCCCAGUGAUUUGGAUACUGGGCGGUUUGCUUAGGCCGAUAUUAAAACCAUUGUCUGUGCUUUUAACUGCUAUUAUUACACCUUUGAUGCCGGCCUUGGCACCUCUAAUCCAAGGCCUAUUGACCUUGGUAGGACCCCUACUUUUGAUAAUAAAAUAAUAAACAAAUAAUUCAGAUGUUUUUUAUGGGCUCAAUUAUUUUUUGUUAUAGCUCAAUAAUAAACUGAUAGAUUGA